UAGUGUAGAAGAAGAGAGACUUUGCAAACGCCAGGCAGAGGGGAUAUUUUAUGCCAUUAAAUGGAGGAAAUAUACUUCUGGGAAAGCAGUUAAAGUGUUUACAAUCUACUCACAUGACGGUUGGAUAGCGGCUCCUUGUUUUUGGGAGCGAAGGAGGAACUUAAAGCCGCACCGCAUCAGAGGGACUCGGGAGCGAGCUGGAUAUGCUAAGCUAAGCUAGCGCCGAAGCUAACGCUAGCACGUCUGAGCUGACUGUUAUGUUAACAACUGUGGUCAGGGAAGAGACCGUGGAUCAGGACUCACCUGCGUACAGGAGGGCGAGGAAGAGGAUACGCUUCAGUCUGCCACAAGGCAUUUGAGUGCCAGGGUGCUUUUCCACAUAGUUAAAUCCUGAACAGUCCAAAACUCAGCCGGCAGGCUUGUGGGCUCAACCCCGGAUCGGGAUAACAGGACUGCCAUCUGCUGGCAAUGCAGAGCCGCUGCGGCAGAUCUGGAAAUGUUUCAUGUUCACAUUGAGCCUCGCAUCGUCUCGUGCCUGACCCUUCCUCCUCAUCACUGGGUGACCUCUGACCUCCUGGGACUGGGAGGACUCACUCUGAGCUUCUUGUCCCUCAGGGAUCCUUCAGAUGUGAUGAUGUCACACCAACCCACCUGAGAAACAGGCCACUGAGAUGAGGUCAGAGCUGGACGCUGGGCUAUAAGGAGAAUCCCCCGCUGACAAGCAUUUACAACCAGCAGCGGUCAGAAGGGAAGAGCUUGCAGUUGGAUUUCCUCCCUAACCAAACAUGGCCACGGUGAGCAUGAAGUGAAACAGCGAAGCGACUGUCAGGCGAGACAGCGGAGCGAGAAGAGAGGCAGCAGGAGGAGAAAGCAGAGAUAUAAACAGACUCCCUGUAACAAGUUUGUUUUUUCAAGGUGUCAGCUUCCACGGCCAAGUUUACACUUAUCUGUGAGGUCUAUCCUGUGUGCUUUGGCGAGCGGCCGCGCUGCUGCAAUAAAUUUCACUGAAUGCAAUGAACCGUUAA